rnacentral:rRNA from 1 species
CCAAUAGCGUAUAUUAAAGUUGUUGCAGUUAAAAAGCUCGUAGUUGAAUUUCGGGAUCAAUAUAUCGGUCGUGCCUCCGGUAUGCACUGGUAUUAUUGAUUUCUACCUUCUGACGAACUGUGAUGUCAUUAAUUUGGUGUCAUGGGGAAUCAGGACUGUUACUUUGAAAAAAUUAGAGUGUUUAAAGCAGGCACACGCUUGAAUACAUUAGCAUGGAAUAAUGAAAUAGGACGUUUGACCCUAUUUUGUUGGUUUCUAGGAUCGACGUAAUGAUUAAUAGGGAUAGUUGGGGGCAUUAGUAUUCAAUUGUCAGAGGUGAAAUUCUUGGAUUUAUUGAAGACUAACUACUGCGAAAGCAUUUGCCAAGGAUGUUUUCAUUAAUCAAGAACGAAAGUUAGGGGAUCGAAGACGAUCAGAUACCGUCGUAGUCUUAACCAUAAACUAUGCCGACUAGGGAUCGGAUGAUGUUAACUUUUUAAUGACUCAUUCGGCGCCUUACG